rnacentral:misc_RNA from 1 species
AACACUGUUAACCUGCGGUACCUGCGGAAGGAUCAUUACCGAGUUUACAACUCCCAAACCCCUGUGAACAUACCAAUUGUUGCCUCGGCGGAUCAGCCCGCUCCCGGUAAAACGGGACGGCCCGCCAGAGGACCCCUAAACUCUGUUUCUAUAUGUAACUUCUGAGUAAAACCAUAAAUAAAUCAAAACUUUUAGCAACGGAUCU